CUGACCGUCGUUCAACGGAUAGGACAUGGUUCUUCUAAAUCCAUAAUGGGGGUUCGAUUCCCUCCGGUCAGGCCA
rnacentral:tRNA from 1 species